AUCAAUGAGCACUUAUUAGUCACCUUUGUUCCCUUUCUGCACUUUAACACACAGAGCCCCAAAAGGAAUGAGACACUCAUUUUGCCCUCAUGAGAUCACUUGCAGCUUUCCUGCCAACAUGCCUUCCUGGUGGUUUUCACUGCAUGUGGAUUCCUGUCUCCCAAAAGAGAAGUGAUGGCCUGUCUAGAUAGGAGCCUGGGAAGCAGGGUUCAGGCCUCCUGGGACCUGUGCUUAGUGGGGAAAGGUGUUGUGGCUUAGAACCGUAUGUUUCUGUGUUGUUUUUGAAUCACCAUCACCUCCUUAUGAGGUGACAUCUGAUCACCCAGCUGCCUCAUGAUCUCAGUGUGGUCACAGUGGGACUCUGCACAUCUGGGCACUGACACCAUUUGAUCAGCACUGGAGUGCCGCGCCUUCGACAGCAGGUUCUUGGGGGCUCCAUGAUUUCCCCUGCUUGCAAGUUCCAAGAUUCCUGAUUUAAAUUACAAGCUGACUGUCAGAAAGAAGAAUUGAUGGAGAGGCGCUGGAGACAGUGAGUCAGGCUCUGGACUCAGCAGAGUCAGUCCUAAUGUCUUUGUCAUCAGUUACCAGCUACAUCAUAAACCUCCUUUGAAAUGACCGGCAAUUAAAAAGCCACAUCCUCAUCACAUUUGUGUGUACUGCCCUCAUAAAACUGCAAGUAAUGCACUUCUGCAAAUAGAUGUGGCUGGUCCCCCAAUCUCGUGUCCAUCUGGGCUGAAGCUUUCAAGUCUUUUGCUAAUGAAGAUGUGACAUGGGCCAGCUGGUUAGAAGUGGAGCCUGGAGGCAAUGGAGGCUCAGGUUGCUGAUGGCCUGAGAGAAAUGGCUUUACUCUAAUGGAAGCUGCCAUGUCAAGCCCAAAGGUUUCAGUGCCCAGGGACUCAUAAAAGAAAAAGCGACAGUGUCAAG